rnacentral:rRNA from 1 species
UACGUAGGGUCCAAGCGUUAUCCGGAAUCCCUGGGCGUAAAGCGUGCGUAGGCGGCGUGUUAAGUGCGAUGCGAAAUCUGGUGGCUCAACCAUCUAGACUGUAUCGCAUACUGGCAUGCUUGAGGAUGGCAGAGGUAAGUGGAAUUGAUAGUGUAGCAGUGAAAUGCGUAGAUAUUAUCAGGAACACCAAUGGCGAAGGCAGCUUACUGGGCCACACCUGACGCUGAGGUACGAAAGCGUGGGGAGCGAACAGG